rnacentral:rRNA from 1 species
AGAGUUUGAUCCUGGCUCAGGAUGAACGCUAGCUGGAGGCUUAAUACAUGCAAGUCGAGCGGGAUUGGCGCAGCAAUGCGCCAUGAGAGCGGCGCACGGGUGAGUAACGCGUACACGACCUACCUCUAACAGGGGGAUAGCCCUGGGAAACUGGGAUUAAUACCGCAUAUAAUUCUUGAUUUAAAGGUUGAGAAUGAAAGUUGAGGCGGUUAGAGAUGGGUGUGCGUCUGAUUAGCUAGUUGGUAAGGUAACGGCUUACCAAGGCGAUGAUCAGUAGGGGGCGUGAGAGCGUGGUCCCCCACACGGGUACUGAGACACGGACCCGACUCCUACGGGAGGCAGCAGUAAGGAAUAUUGGUCAAUGGGCGAAAGCCUGAACCAGCCAUCCAGCGUGCAGGAAGAAGGCCCUAUGGGUUGUAAACUGCUUUUGUCAGGGAAGAAACCUUUGGAUUUACUCCGAAGCUGACGGUACCUGAAGAAUAAGCACCGGCUAACUCCGUGCCAGCAGCCGCGGUAAUACGGAGGGUGCGAGCGUUAUCCGGAAUUACUGGGUUUAAAGGGUGCGUAGGCGGCCAGGUAAGUCAGGAGUGAAAGUUUGCGGCUCAACCGUAAAAUUGCUUUUGAUACUGCCAGGCUAGAAUUAGGAUGAGGUCAGCGGAAUGUGGCAUGUAGCGGUGAAAUGCAUAGAUAUGCCAUAGAACACCAAUUGCGAAGGCAGCUGGCUAGACCUGGAUUGACGCUGAGGCACGAAAGCGUGGGGAGCGAACAGGAUUAGAUACCCUGGUAGUCG